AGCGAACGCUGGCGACAGGCCUAACACAUGCAAGUCGAACGGAUCCUUCGGGAUUAGUGGCGGACGGGUGAGUAACACGUGGGAACGUGCCCUUUGGUUCGGAACAACUCAGGGAAACUUGAGCUAAUACCGGAUGUGCCCUUCGGGGGAAAGAUUUAUCGCCAUUGGAGCGGCCCGCGUCUGAUUAGCUAGUUGGUGAGGUAAAGGCUCACCAAGGCGACGAUCAGUAGCUGGUCUGAGAGGAUGAUCAGCCACAUUGGGACUGAGACACGGCCCAAACUCCUACGGGAGGCAGCAGUGGGGAAUCUUGCGCAAUGGGCGAAAGCCUGACGCAGCCAUGCCGCGUGAAUGAUGAAGGUCUUAGGAUUGUAAAAUUCUUUCACCGGGGACGAUAAUGACGGUACCCGGAGAAGAAGCCCCGGCUAACUCCGUGCCAGCCGCUGCGGUAACAC
rnacentral:rRNA from 1 species